rnacentral:rRNA from 1 species
CCUACGGGCGGCAGCAGUGGGGAAUAUUGGGCAAUGGGCGCAAGCCUGACCCAGCAACGCCGCGUGAAGGAAGAAGGCUUUCGGGUUGUAAACUUCUUUUAUCAGGGACGAAGCAAGUGACGGUACCUGAUGACUAAGCCACGGCUAACUACGUGCCAGCAGCCGCGGUAAUACGUAGGUGGCACGCGUUAUCCGGAUUUACUGGGGGUAAAGGGCGAGUAGGCGGGAGUGCAGGUCUGAGGUGAAAACAAUGGGCGCAACCCAGAGCCUGCAUUUGAAACUGUACUUCUGGAGUGCUGGAGAGGCAAUCGGAAUUCCGGGUGUAGCGGUGAAAUGCGUAGAUAUACGGAGGAACACCAGUGGCGAAGGCGGAUUGCUGGACAGUAACUGACGCUGAGGCGCGAAAGCGUGGGGAGCAAACAGGAUUAGAUACCCCUGUAGUC